GAUGAAGAACGUAGCAAAAUGCGAUACUUGGUGUGAAUUGCAGAAUCCCGUGAACCAUCGAGUCUUUGAACGCAAGUUGCGCCCGAAGCCAUUAGGCCGAGGGCACGCCUGCCUGGGCGUCACACGUCGUUGCCCCCCCAUCUACUCCUUCGGGAUUGCGAGGGGCGGAUGAUGGCCUCCCGUGCGCCUCGUCGCGCGGUUGGCAUAAAUGCCAAGUCCUCGGCGACGCACGCCACGACAAUCGGUGGUUGCGAAACCUCGGUUGCCCGUCGUGUGCGGUCGUCGCGCAUCGAGGGCUCGAAAAAAUUGUCGGGCUCCGGCUCGGCUUUCAACGCGACCCCAGGUCAGGCGGGGUUACCCGCUGAAUUUAAGCAUAUCAAUAAGCGGAGGA
rnacentral:misc_RNA from 1 species